ACUCUGUCCUAUAGGGUCACAUGAGUCAGAAUCGACUCGACGGCAAGUUAGUUUUUUUUUUUUGUCUUGUAGUUAUGUAAAAUGAUUUUCCAUAAGUAGCAGUAAUAGUGUUUCCUUUGGAGUCCCUAGGUGGUGCAAAAGGUUUACAUGCUCGGAUGCUAAUCAAAAGGUUGGAUGUUUGAGCCUCGGAAGAAAGGCCUGGCAAUCUACUUCUGAAAAAUCAGCCAUUGAAAACCCUAUGUAGCUCAGUUCUGACACACAAGGGUCACCAUGAGUUGGAAAUGACAGCAACCGGUUUAUAUGGUUUCCAUUAUAUAAAAAGCAAUUUGAUAAAAAAAAAAAAUUUAGUACAGGUAGUACAAAAAAAUCAUGAAAAUAAUACAUUAACAAUUAACCUCUGAAAAUCACUGCAAUAAAGCCAAAAUAGGUGUUAAUGAUUAUAGAAACAGGUUUUUUUAAUAAAACAAAAGCUUCACCAUUAUCCACUCUUUUAAUUUUUUUUUCCUUUUCCCUGACUUUACAGCUAACCAAGAGCGAGACAAAGUCAAACGUUACUACUCUCUUCAGUAUCCAGAGUGGCCGAUAUACUUACGUAACAGAUACACCUCUCUCUUUCUCAUUGUUAGUCCAUUAAUUCAUAUACUGACUGUUAUAAUUACCAUUUUGAUCAAACACAAAUAUCCUAACUUAGUUCUUUUGGAAUAAUACAAUCCAAACAAAAAAAAAAA